rnacentral:rRNA from 1 species
AGUGAACGCUGGCGGUAGGCCUAACACAUGCAAGUCGAACGGCAGCACAGUAAGAGCUUGCUCUUACGGGUGGCGAGUGGCGGACGGGUGAGGAAUACAUCGGAAUCUACUUUUUCGUGGGGGAUAACGAAGGGAAACUUACGCUAAUACCGCAUACGACCUCCGGGUGAAAGCAGGGGAUCUUCGGACCUUGCGCGAUUGAAUGAGCCGAUGUCGGAUUAGCUAGUUGGCGGGGUAAAGGCCCACCAAGGCGACGAUCCGUAGCUGGUCUGAGAGGAUGAUCAGCCACACUGGAACUGAGACACGGUCCAGACUCCUACGGGAGGCAGCAGUGGGGAAUAUUGGACAAUGGGCGCAAGCCUGAUCCAGCCAUACCGCGUGGGUGAAGAAGGCCUUCGGGUUGUAAAGCCCUUUUGUUGGGAAAGAAAAGCAGCAGGUUAAUACCCCGCUGUUCUGACGGUACCCAAAGAAUAAGCACCGGCUAACUUCGUG